UGGCGGACGGGUGAGUAACGCGUGAGAAUCUGCCUUCUGGUCGGGGACAACCAUUGGAAACGAUGGCUAAUACCGGAUGAGCCUACGGGUAAAAGAUUUAUUGCCAGAAGAGGAGCUCGCGUCUGAUUAGCUAGUUGGUGGGGUAAAAGCCCACCAAGGCAUCGAUCAGUAGCUGGUCUGAGAGGAUGACCAGCCACACUGGGACUGAGACACGGCCCAG
rnacentral:rRNA from 1 species